AGCGAACGCUGGCGGCAGGCUUAACACAUGCAAGUCGAACGGACCCUUCGGGGUUAGUGGCGGACGGGUGAGUAACACGUGGGAAUGUGCCUUUAGGUUCGGAACAACACAGGGAAACUUGUGCUAAUACCGAAUGUGCCCUUCGGGGAAAGGAUUUAUUGCCUUUAGAGCAGCCCGCGUCUGAUUAGCUUGUUGGUGAGGUAAAGGACUCACCAAGGCGACGAUCAGUAGCUGGUCUGAGAGGAUGGCC
rnacentral:rRNA from 1 species